rnacentral:rRNA from 1 species
UGAGGAAUAUUGGUCAAUGGACGCGAGUCUGAACCAGCCAAGUAGCGUGAAGGAUGACUGCCCUAUGGGUUGUAAACUUCUUUUAUAUGGGAAUAAAGUGGUCCACGUGUGGACUUUUGUAUGUACCAUAUGAAUAAGGAUCGGCUAACUCCGUGCCAGCAGCCGCGGUAAUACGGAGGAUCCGAGCGUUAUCCGGAUUUAUUGGGUUUAAAGGGAGCGUAGGCGGAUUGUUAAGUCAGUUGUGAAAGUUUGCGGCUCAACCGUAAAAUUGCAGUUGAUACUGGCAGUCUUGAGUGCAGUAGAGGUGGGCGGAAUUCGUGGUGUAACGGUGAAAUGCUUAGAUAUCACGAAGAACUCCGAUUGCGAAGGCAGCUCACUGGAGUGUAACUGACGCUGAUGCUCGAAAGUGUGGGUAUCAAACAGGAUUAGAUACCCUGGUAGUCCACACAGUAAACGAUGAAUACUCGCUGUUUGCGAUAUACAGUAAGCGGCCAAGCGAAAGCAUUAAGUAUUCCACCUGGGGAGUACGCCGGCAACGGUGAAACUCAAAGGAAUUGACGGGGGCCCGCACAAGCGGAGGAACAUGUGGUUUAAUUCGAUGAUACGCGAGGAACCUUACCCGGGCUUAAAUUGCAAAUGAAUUAUGGGGAAACCCAUACGCCGCAAGGCAUUUGUGAAGGUGCUGCAUGGUUGUCGUCAGCUCGUGCCGUGAGGUGUCGGCUUAAGUGCCAUAACGAGCGCAACCCUUAUCUUCAGUUACUAACAGGUCAUGCUGAGGACUCUGGAGAGACUGCCGUCGUAAGAUGUGAGGAAGGUGGGGAUGACGUCAAAUCAGCACGGCCCUUACGUCCGGGGCUACACACGUGUUACAAUGGGGGGUACAGAAGGCCGCUACCUGGUGACAGGAUGCCAAUCCCAAAAACCUCUCUCAGUUCGGAUCGAAGUCUGCAACCCGACUUCGUGAAGCUGGAUUCGCUAGUAAUCGCGCAUCAGCCAUGGCGCGGUGAAUACGUUCCC